rnacentral:tRNA from 2 species
GGAGAGUUGACAGAGCGGUAAUGUGCAGGUUUGCUAAACCCAGGCUACCGGAAACGAUACAAAGGUUCGACUCCUUUACUCUCCG